rnacentral:rRNA from 1 species
GAUGAACGCUAGCGACAGGCUUAACACAUGCAAGUCGAGGGGCAGCAUAAAAGUAGCAAUACUUUGGUGGCGACCGGCGCACGGGUGAGUAACGCGUAUGCAACCUAGCUAUCAGAGGGGAAUAACCCGGCGAAAGUCGGACUAAUACCGCAUAAAACAGGGGCACCGCAUGGUGAUAUUUGUUAAAGAAAUUCGCUGAUAGAUGGGCAUGCGUUCCAUUAGGUAGUUGGUGAGGUAGCGGCUCACCAAGCCGACGAUGGAUAGGGGAACUGAGAGGUUGGUCCCCCACACUGGUACUGAGACACGGACCAGACUCCUACGGGAGGCAGCAGUGAGGAAUAUUGGUCAAUGGGCGAGAGCCUGAACCAGCCAAGUCGCGUGAAGGAAGAAGGAUCUAUGGUUCGUAAACUUCUUUUGCAGGGGAAUAAAGUGUGGGACGUGUCCUGUUUUGUAUGUACCCUGAGAAUAAGGAUCGGCUAACUCCGUGCCAGCAGCCGCCGUAA